UUCAGAGACUAAGCGAAAGUGAUAAGUUAGCCACCUGGGGAGUACGUUCGCAAGAAUGAAACUCAAAGGAAUUGACGGGGGCCCGCACAAGCGGUGGAUUAUGUGGUUUAAUUCGAUGAUACGCGAGGAACCUUACCAAGGCUUAAAUGGGAAUUGACAGGCGCAGAAAUGUGCUUUUCUUCGGACAAUUUUCAAGGUGCUGCAUGGUUGUCGUCAGCUCGUGCCGUGAGGUGUUAGGUUAAGUCCUGCAACGAGCGCAACCCCUGUCACUAGUUGCCAUCAUUGAGUUGGGGACUCUAGUGAGACUGCCUACGCAAGUAGAGAGGAAGGUGGGGAUGACGUCAAAUCAUCACGGCCCUUACGCCUUGGGCCACACACGUAAUACAAUGGCCGGUACAGAGGGCAGCUACACAGCGAUGUGAUGCAAAUCUCGAAAGCCGGUCUCAGUUCGGAUUGGAGUCUGCAACUCGACUCUAUGAAGCUGGAAUCGCUAGUAAUCGCGCAUCAGCCAUGGCGCGGUGAAUACGUUCCCGGGCAUGUACACACCGCCC
rnacentral:rRNA from 1 species